GGGAAUCUUCGGCAAUGGACGAAAGUCUGACCGAGCAACGCCGCGUGAGUGAAGAAGGUUUUCGGAUCGUAAAACUCUGUUGUUAGAGAAGAACAAGGAUGAGAGUAAAAUGUUCAUCCCUUGACGGUAUCUAACCAGAAAGCCACGGCUAACUACGUGCCAGCAGCCGCGGUAAUACGUAGGUGGCAAGCGUUGUCCGGAUUUAUUGGGCGUAAAGCGAGCGCAGGCGGUUUCUUAAGUCUGAUGUGAAAGCCCCCGGCUCAACCGGGGAGGGUCAUUGGAAACUGGGAGACUUGAGUGCAGAAGAGGAGAGUGGAAUUCCAUGUGUAGCGGUGAAAUGCGUAGAUAUAUGGAGGAACACCAGUGGCGAAGGCGGCUCUCUGGUCUGUAACUGACGCUGAGGCUCGAAAGCGUGGGGAGCGAACAGGAUUAGAUACCCUGGUAGUCCACGCCGUAAACGAUGAGUGCUAAGUGUUGGAGGGUUUCCGCCCUUCAGUGCUGCAGCAAACGCAUUAAGCACUCCGCCUGGGGAGUACGACCGCAAGGUUGAAACUCAAAGGAAUUGACGGGGGCCCGCACAAGCGGUGGAGCAUGUGGUUUAAUUCGAAGCAACGCGAAGAACCUUACCAGGUCUUGACAUCCUUUGACCACUCUAGAGAUAGAGCUUCCCCUUCGGGGGCAAAGUGACAGGUGGUGCAUGGUUGUCGUCAGCUCGUGUCGUGAGAUGUUGGGUUAAGUCCCGCAACGAGCGCAACCCUUAUUGUUAGUUGCCAUCAUUUAGUUGGGCACUCUAGCGAGACUGCCGGUGACAAACCGGAGGAAGGUGGGGAUGACGUCAAAUCAUCAUGCCCCUUAUGACCUGGGCUACACACGUGCUACAAUGGGAAGUACAACGAGUUGCGAAGUCGCGAGGCUAAGCUAAUCUCUUAAAGCUUCUCUCAGUUCGGAUUGUAGGCUGCAACUCGCCUACAUGAAGCCGGAAUCGCUAGUAAUCGCGGAUCAGCCACGCCGCG
rnacentral:rRNA from 1 species